AGACCAUCUUGGUGUCUGGAGAUGAGCGAGAGCAGCCAUCCAGUUGCACUCUGGUCCUGAUUGAAAACUACCUGCUUCCUUUUGCUCUCAUCGUCCUUUCUGGGCUCUGCUAGUUCUGCACGGAGAAGAACGGAGGGGAGGAGUUCUCUCCAAAGUGAUCCUCAGCUCCCCAGGGAAGUCAUGGAGACUUCAGAGGGACCACCCCAAUGACUGACACGGAUGGCAUGCCAAGAUCUUGAGGGUGGCAGGAGCUUGAACUCAAUUGGAAAUGACAAUGGUCCACAGGCCCUCAGAUACAGAACAUACAAAACUUGUCUGCCAGGAUCCCUAACAGAUUCAAAUGCACAUGGAGAGCAGGGCAAGCUUUUCUCUGUAGAGGACCAAAAAUGAUAUCCCAUCACAAACUGCAUCCCACUUGCCCUCAGCUUCUUGAACUGGUCUCCACUGCCUAAGAUAUUCUCUUCCUCAACUUCAACAGAUGCUGAAGACUCGGCUGUGAAAAUCUUUUUUCUGUUGACAAGUUUGAAUAGGUAAUACUUUCAAAUGACUCAAAAGUCAAAAAAUAUGAAAAGGUAUGACAUGAAAAUUUCCUCUUUUUUCUGUCCUCCAGGCACCCAGUCUUUCUCCCUACUAAUCAGGGUGCUUGGUCACAGGAAACAGGGCAGCAUGUUUCUUAUUAUACCUCCAGAGAUGUUUUCUGCACAAAUGAUAGCAUCCUAUCCUCACCUUAAAAACCCUUCAAUUGAAGUAUAACAUCAAGAGCAGUGCAUACCUAAUUAAUUUUCAUACACUAGACACAUGCAUGUCACCAGUACUGAGAUCAAGAAACGUUAACUCUCUGAACUCCCUUGGCCCCGCGAUGUCCCUUCCAGUCACUCCAUCCGGCAAGAGCUCACUCUUCUGAUUUUUAACAGAAUGAUUUUGUCGCCUUUAUACUUCAUGUAAGUGGAGCAACCCUGACUGUUAACAGACUAGGUUACUUGCCAUCUGUAUACCUUCUACACAUGGACUUAUUCAGUCAAAUUUUUCCUUGAUUCUUUCUCUCAGCACUACAUCUGUGAUGCUCUUCCAUAUUGACUGGUGUAGUUAUAAUUUAGUCACUUUCACUGGUGUUUAAUUAAUAUUCCAUUGUUGGACAUACUGUUUUUGCACUUGCUUUUGUUUUGUUUGUCUUACAACGUAUCUUGGAGAAAUUCUUGUACCCAUAUAUUGAGUGCCCGUAUUCUUUCUUUGUGUAUUAGUAUUCUAUUAGGGAAAUAAUUUUUUUUACUUGUUUCCUAGGACAGACAUUUGGCAAUAACCUAUAUUUAAAAGUAAUAUGUGCUUCUUAACAUCUUUAAUUAUUAGAGAAAUGCAAAUCAAAACUACAAUGAGGUAUUACUUCACACCAGUCAGAAUGACCAUCAUCAAAAAGUCUAUAAAUGAUAAAUGCUGGAGAGGGUGUGGAGAAAAGAUGUGGUAAUAUAUACAAUGGAAUAUUACUCAGCCAUAAAAAGAAUGAUUAAUGCCAUUUGUAGCAACAUGGAUGGGCCCAGAUAUCAUAGUAAGUGAAAUAACGCAAAAACAAAUAUGACAUCAAUUAAAUGGAAUCUAAUAGAAAUGAUACCAAAGAACCUAUUUACAAAACAGAAACAGAGUCACAGAUUCUGAAAUCAAACUUAUGGUUACCAAAGAGGACAGCUGUGGGGAGGGGGAGGGAUAAAUUAGGAGGUUGGGAUGAACAUAUAUACACAACCUUAUAUAAAUAAUUAACAAGGAUCUACUGUACAACACAGGGAAAUCGACUCAAUAUUCUGUAAUAACCUGUAUGGGAAAAGAAUCCGAGAAAGAAUGGCAACAUGUAUAUGCAUAACUGAUACACUUUGCUGCCUACUUGAAGCUAACAUAACAUUGUAAGUCAACUAUAUUCCAAAAAAUUUUUUUUUGCCUUUUCUAGGGCUGCUCCUGCAGCAUAUGGAGGUUCCCAGGCUAGGGGUCUAAUCAGAGCUGUAGCUGCCAGCCUAUGCCAGAGCCACAGCAACGUGGGAUCCAAGCUGCAUCUGUGACCUACACCACAGCUCAUGGCAAUGCCAGAUCCUUAACCCAGUGAGUGAGGCUAGGGAUUGAACCCGCAACCUCAUGGUUCCUAGUCAGAUUCAUUAACCGCUGAGCCACAAUGGGAACUCCCCCCUCCACAAUUUUUAAGUAUGCUGUAUAGCACGGAGAACUCUACUCUCUAUUCUGUGAUAAUCAUGAGGGAAAAGAACCUGAAAGAGAAUGGAUAUGUGUACAUGUAUAACUGGAUCACUUUGUUGUACAGCAGAAAUAAUCACAUCCUUGUAAAUCAACUAUACUUCAGUAAAACUUUUAAAAUAAAAAAAUACAUGCUUCU
rnacentral:lncRNA from 1 species